UUUUUUUAAUACUAUUAUUAAGAUUAUCGCUUUGAUAUUGUGAAAUUAAAUAAACGCUUAACAUUAAGUCUAAUUUUAUCCUAGAUUAAAAUUAAACGAAAACUUAUUUAAUUAUCAAUCGUUAAUUUAAUUACGAUAUAUUUGCUACGUGUUUAAACUAGUUUUCUUAAUCUGGUUAAUCAAUCGUUCGUAACAAUAAGUCAGAUUAAAACUAACCUGAUUUAAAACUAACCUAGUUAUUUUUGUAAAUACCUAUUUAACGGCCAAGUAAAUUUUAAAUUGCGUAUUUUCUAGCAUAACCUUUUCACAAUUUCGAUUAAAUGUCAAAAAUCUCACGCGAAAUAUUCGAAAGCACGAUCGAAAUUAUCGAUUUAGACCUGAUCGGCGGUUGCCCUCCCCAGGACUCGACCCUUCCGGAGGGAGUUUUGUAUGCGGAUCUAAUUACUUCCGGUCGGUCGUUCGCGUCGCUCGAUACACGUAUAUCCGGAAUAUCACGAGUCGAAUCUGCGCGGAGGACGACGUCCCACACAUCUGCUCGAAUCCUUUAAUAUUUUUUCUCUCUCUCUCUCUCUCUCUUUCACACACAAUCAUCGCGUUAACACGCGUUUCGCGCACUUCUCGCUUUCGAAACGUGUAUAGUACGUGUAGCUUCGAGCCUCGUCGGUAAAUUGAACGCUCGAUCGGUAAAAGCUCGACGAAACGAGAUUCGAGAUGGGUGGUUCGACAAUGAGGAGAGUAAUGCUCGCGCUAGAGAGGAGCAAAACUGGGCACAUAGAGGAGGUAAUUAGUCGAUGGUUCAUCAGUCACUCUGGCACAUAAGAGCCGUGCAUCCCUGACGCAUCCUCUCGAAGCAAAAAACUGUUGAUCCUUUCCUUGAGAGCAGCAACGACCCCCAGGAUGCAUUAAGGAACUAAUGAAACGUCGGAUCGGGACGUAUCCUCCUUGAGAGAAUCUUCUGGAAGGAGGUUUCUCUGGAGGAGAGAAGGAUGCCGAGUGUGACGAUCUCUGUCGAUUAGUUAAUCGCCUUGCUCGAGCAUUGACUCUUCGUAAAGAGAUUAACGAAGCAAUAAAUGGAUUUCUCGUAUUAAAUGAGGAAGGACAAGCAAAAGAGAAUCAACACGUUUGAAAAAGGAUCAAGCGGUGCAUUAUUGAGGAUGGUUUGAUAAUUAAUUAGAGUGGCAGCGGCGGCAAUGUAAACAGACAUUCAGUCGGCGAAGCGGUAGAUUCAGUUCGGCCGACUGGAAGAUUUCGGUGUAUUCGGUUUGGUCUUUGGGGCAAACAUAAUCGACGUCGAUGCGUUCUCCCUUGAGAAUCGUCGACGUCGAUGUCUCGACAUAGUUGGCGACGAAAUGGACGCGCGAAUCUGUUCGAGAGAGAAGCUAAGUUUCUCUCGAUCAUCGCCAAAAGUUGUCGGUUCUCCGCGAUGAAAUAAUUGCACAGAUGGUCGUUCGAUCUCUCUAUUUGCGUUAUGAUUGGUCAUUUUCAAACAUAUAUGUGUAUAUAUAUAUAUAUAUGUCUAAUGCGUACGCAAUAUUUAAUAUUUGAUCACACUAGCAGAAUAGAUCGAUUCUGUCGUUUGAAAAUUUUCUGCCAACUAUUUCUUUGCGACCAAUUAAUAUUAAUUUCCAUUAGUACUAUCAAUAUUUAAAAGUAAAUAUGCGCACGCAAAUAUCAUUCACAAAUGAAUGUCGGAAUGGAAUUUCAAAUGGAGGAUCGAAAAAUAGUUUAAUAAAAAUAGUACUAUAAUUAAAGACAAUAUUAAUUAAUUUUUCCUUUGUGAUUCGUUAUCCUUUAUGUUCAUCUAUUUAUAUUAUUUAUCUAUUACAAUUUAUCUACUUACAUUUAAACUUUUUAUUACUUAUAAUAAAUAACGAAACAUAAAUUUUAUGAAAUAUGUUUAUCCUCAAUAAAUAUAAUAAUUAUA